CUCCAUUGGUGUAUCCCAUGAACAUCUCAAACUUAUCAUGACCAAAACUGAGCUCCUCAUCUCGCCUGGCCCCCUGGGGAAGACUCCAAACUAAGACUAACUCAAUAAUUGAAUCCUGGCUUACUUCAAGGUUCAAUUUAGGAGUGACCUGCAAGAAUCCAAGAAUCCUCUGUCUACAUAGAUACAGAGAAACCUCAACAAAAAUAUGAUAAAAGCAGCUCUUAGUUUAAUUGGAAACUCGCCUGAGCAAAAACCUUUCUUAUCUUGGCUUGAUCAGCCUGGAUCUUAAAAAAGGGUUUUCCAGUCUCUGGCCACUUAUGUUGAUGUGA